GGAGAAAUGGCUCAGCGGUUAAGAGCACUGGCUGCUCUUCCAGAAGACCUGGGUUCAAUUCCCAGCACCC
rnacentral:tRNA from 1 species